AAGACUACACUUUCAGGGAUCAUUUCCAUAGUUGUAACUAGAGAAGUUUCUGACUGUGUAGAGUACUAGAAACCAUGAGGAUGAGAUGCAGUGUUCCCUCCUGAGCGUGAAGCUAGCUCUUGAGGUUGCUUUUUUGCAACUGCCUUUAGCCAAUGAUGAUUGUUCUUCUCUUCCUUUGGAAGAGUUAAAGGGAGGGAUCACAGUCUGAGUGAAA
ensembl:snoRNA